GAUGAACGCUGGCGGCGUGCCUAAUACAUGCAAGUCGAGCGAACAGACGAGGAGCUUGCUCCUCUGACGUUAGCGGCGGACGGGUGAGUAACACGUGGAUAACCUACCUAUAAGACUGGGAUAACUUCGGGAAACCGGAGCUAAUACCGGAUAAUAUAUUGAACCGCAUGGUUCAAUAGUGAAAGACGGUUUUGCUGUCACUUAUAGAUGGAUCCGCGCCGCAUUAGCUAGUUGGUAAGGUAACGGCUUACCAAGGCAACGAUGCGUAGCCGACCUGAGAGGGUGAUCGGCCACACUGGAACUGAGACACGGUCCAGACUCCUACGAGAGGCAGCAGUAGGGAAUCUUCCGCAAUGGGCGAAAGCCUGACGGAGCAACGCCGCGUGAGUGAUGGAGGUCUUCGGAUCGUAAAACUCUGUUAUUAGGGAAGAACAAAUGUGUAAGUAACUAUGCACGUCUUGACGGUACCUAAUCAGAAAGCCACGGCUAACUACGUG
rnacentral:rRNA from 1 species